UCCGGAAGGGCUUGAUUGACGUGGAGA
rnacentral:piRNA from 1 species